UAAUAAAAUUUGAUAAAAUUCUUUUAUAAAUUUCUAUUUGGUUUAUAUUAUAGUUUCAUUCGUGGGGUAACAAAAAUUAUAACAUUUGGUUGUUCGUGAAUCUAUCCCACUUUCGCAUAUCAUUUUGCAUAGAACCAAAAAGUUGGAAUACUGCUGACCUGAAUGAUAUACGCAGCAAGGGUUGCUAUAAAAGUGUAUUAAAGGUUAUAAAAGUCACACGUCAUUUAUCUUAUUGAUAAUAUGAAAUAGAGAAGAUUAAGGACAGUUCACAACAUGUCCUCAGGUUCCAGUUUUAAUCUUUUCUCUAGAUCGUCUUCCUAUUCGGAACUCCUUUAAAAUUUGAUUGAACAACUGUGUCCCCUUCCUUCCUUUCUUUUUUCUCGUUAAGUACAUUACUUUGCUUCUAUUACGUGGUUCUGCCUUGAGGAGGUAUGAUUAGUUACGUCGGCGAUUCAAUUCAACAUAAACAACUUAUUCAAUUCUAUUCGAAUCCUACUUAUUCGAGCAAAAAAUUCCAUUUUGAUACACGUUCCGCCUAUCUCGUCAAACAGCCCUCUGAUAGCUUUUCUGAUCUCAAUCGAUCAUAUCCUCUAGCUAAAGCUACCUACCUAUGGAUCUUUUGAAAAAAGUAUUUCGUUUCCUCGUUCCAUUAUUCGAAUAAACUUAUGUAAAACAACGUCAUAUUAGUCUUGUUAAAGUUCGCUGUCACUUUCAUAAAUUUUGUCUUCUUUCUCGUUAAUCUCGAUCACAUAAUGAAUACGGUAUGGAUCUUUACGAAUCACCUAAAACAAGAUCGACGUUUGACAUGGAAAUACCUUUCCUUUACAUCCAGUACCUUGAUUUAUAAUAUUCCCAAUAGUUUUGGAAGUUACUGAUAAUCUUAAACAGUAUAAUUUCGCCGAUCCUGACCAUUACUAUGUAAUUUAAUGUGUGCUUUCCACGCAUGAGGUAUAUAGAUAUUUUUUUUGUUUUUCUUUUUUUCUGAAUUCAUGCUAAAUUAAAGCAUCAUGUCAUUACCGAUGAAUUGUAACAAAAAAUUCAAAAUGUUAAAUUACAUCGUUUUAAAUGAUAACACCUGACAACUUAAAAGUUAAAUGCUUGAUAUUCCAUAGGAUCAUGGUAGAUGAAGAAUUAUGUUUUUGACGAAGGAUUAUUCGAAAUAUUUCUCUUACAAAUGUAAUUUUUAAUUUGUUUAAUAGAAUAAAGGAAUUUUACAAAAAGA